rnacentral:lncRNA from 1 species
ACUUUUUAAGAAAUAUAAGGAUGUUUAUUUGAUUUGUACAACAUAAACGGGCAGUCUGAUUGAAAUGGAUGAAGGUAAUGAAAAUGUGAUGGGGGUGAGGCAGUUCUCACAGAAUCAGGAUUGAAGAGAACAGAAUAAAAUCUCCACAGAGGAGGCCUCAGAGCCCAGAGCCCUCAGGUGUUUCGAUAUGGGGGAGGAACUGAUAAUCCCACUCUUCUCGAAUGAAGACAGAAUCAUGGGGGGUCUUCAUAUGGUGUGACUGAGUUGAUGGGUUUAACAAAUUAAAGUUGUCAUUCCUCAACUUAAACUACCACUGAACUCAUCUAUCAAUAAAUAUAUGUGUACAAAAAUACACACACAGAUGAAUACACGCACCACUCUCCACCAGAAGAGAGAUGAAUCUGCAUUGUGUUCUCUCCUUGUUCAGGGAAGUAAAAUGAAGGUGGCUUCUCAAAGGAAAAUUCCUAAAGAUUAGCAGACUUUUUUCCCCCUCUAAAUUAGAUAAAAGCAAGAGGUAUGCUACAUUGGAAGAACUCAAGAACUGGAUAAGCUUCCCUAGUUAAAAAAACCGAACAAACUUUAAUCAAACAUUCUCCAUUCAAGUCAAACCUAUCUGCAACAUCCCAGUAUCCUUCCAAAGUAUCUACUAGGGUUGACAGGACAUUCUUAUUUGCUU